GGGACACGUGGUAUCCUGUCUGAAUAUGGGGGGACCAUCCUCCAAGGCUAAAUACUCCUGACUGACCGAUAGUGAACCAGUACCGUGAGGGAAAGGCGAAAAGAACCCCGGCGAGGGGAGUGAAAAAGAACCUGAAACCGUGUACGUACAAGCAGUGGGAGCACCUUCGGGUGUGACUGCGUACCUUUUGUAUAAUGGGUCAGCGACUUAUAUUCUGUAGCAAGGUUAACCGUAUAGGGGAGCCGCAGGGAAACCGAGUCUUAACUGGGCGUUAAGUUGCAGGGUAUAGACCCGAAACCCGGUGAUCUAGCCAUGGGCAGGUUGAAGGUUGGGUAACACUAACUGGAGGACCGAACCGACUAAUGUUGAAAAAUUAGCGGAUGACUUGUGGCUGGGGGUGAAAGGCCAAUCAAACCGGGAGAUAGCUGGUUCUCCCCGAAAGCUAUUUAGGUAGCGCCUCGUGAACUCAUCUUCGGGGGUAGAGCACUGUUUCGGCUAGGGGGUCAUCCCGACUUACCAACCCGAUGCAAACUACGAAUACCGAAGAAUGUUAUCACGGGAGACACACGGCGGGUGCUAACGUCCGUCGUGAAGAGGGAAACAACCCAGACCGCCAGCUAAGGUCCCAAAGUCAUGGUUAAGUGGGAAACGAUGUGGGAAGGCACAGACAGCCAGGAUGUUGGCUUAGAAGCAGCCAUCAUUUAAAGAAAGCGUAAUAGCUCACUGGUCGAGUCGGCCUGCGCGGAAGAUGUAACGGGGCUAAACCAUGCACCGAAGCUGCGGCAGCGACACUAUGUGUUGUUGGGUAGGGGAGCGUUCUGUAAGCCUGCGAAGGUGUGCUGUGAGGCAUGCUGGAGGUAUCAGAAGUGCGAAUGCUGACAUAAGUAACGAUAAAGCGGGUGAAAAGCCCGCUCGCCGGAAGACCAAGGGUUCCUGUCCAACGUUAAUCGGGGCAGGGUGAGUCGACCCCUAAGGCGAGGCCGAAAGGCGUAGUCGAUGGGAAACAGGUUAAUAUUCCUGUACUUGGUGUUACUGCGAAGGGGGGACGGAGAAGGCUAUGUUAGCCGGGCGACGGUUGUCCCGGUUUAAGCAUGUAGGCUGGUUGUCCAGGCAAAUCCGGAUAAUCAAGGCUGAGGUGUGAUGACGAGGCACUACGGUGCUGAAGUAACAAAUGCCCUGCUUCCAGGAAAAGCCUCUAAGCAUCAGGUAACAUCAAAUCGUACCCCAAACCGACACAGGUGGUCAGGUAGAGAAUACCAAGGCGCUUGAGAGAACUCGGGUGAAGGAACUAGGCAAAAUGGUGCCGUAACUUCGGGAGAAGGCACGCUGGUGUGUAGGUGAAGUCCCUGCGG
rnacentral:rRNA from 1 species